AUUUAUAUAUCUUUUUUUAUUUAUAUUAUAGAUUAUAUAAAAAUAUAAAUAAAUAUAUAUAAACAUGUAAAUGUUUCUUAAAUACAUAUAUGAAUGUGUGUGUAUAUAUUUAUACAUAAUAAUUAGACACAGCACACACUCAUAUAUUAUACCAAUAAUCACUUUUAUUUUGUAUGCGAUUAAUCGCGAUUAAUCUUUGCCCAGCACCAUUUCAAAUAUAAAUUUUAAGAAUACCCUUAAUAAUAUAAUAACAUACAACCUUUUAUCUGCUUUCUUUAUGGUUCCACAGACAGCUCCCUCAGCCUUUUGUAUGCAAAACAUGCCCAUGCGGGCCCACUGUGAGGUAUAUUGUGGGACAGUGUGGGCAAGGCAAACUCACACCACAUCCCAAAUGGGCCCCCAAAUUAUCAUUGUUUGUUAUUAUCUUAGCAGAUAAUUUUCUUUUGAUGUUUGUUGUUGUUGUUUAAUCAAAAACCAGUUACUACACUUUUAUUAUAAUAAAACCAUUUUUUUAUUUUUAUUUUUUUAUAAAGCUCUGUCCAUUUAGAACAAAAUGUGCAUGCAUGUUUAUGAAAUAAUUGAACCCACCCCCGGGUGAAGAUCUAAAAAGCUAUGUUUUAAAAGCACAAUAUUUCUGUUUAUUUUAAUACAAGAAAUGUUUAUUGUUAAACAAGUUCUAAUUUUCAGUUCAGUCUGGACGUGGGACAUCUUUUUUACCAUCUUUAUUGUUCUUUAACAUGUUGUCUUUUGUUAUGUGUUAUUAGCGAGGGGCAACCUUCCGAUCUCUCUAAUGAAGCCAACACGGAAGUGAUUUAAACUGCAAUUCAUCGACUGGCUCCAAAAGGGAGUCAAUUCCCAUAGACUCCCAUGUUAAAAAUUGCCAACUUUACAGUAGAAGAUAAUAUGUUUACAGCCUGGUACAAAAAGUGUUUUUGGCCUAUAUAGCUAAUUUUGCCCGUCAUGACAACUGUGAGGGGGGUGAAUGUUUUUGUAACUCAUCCGUUUUAAUUAUAUUAAGCCUUAAACUUCUGCAUAAUUAAGGGCGUGGCCGCUUGAGUGUCGGUUGAACAGCCACUGCUGUCACUAGACUCGCGCUAGGUGGGCGUGGUUUCACCUCAGCUUCACCCAUAUCCCGCCUCUUUACGUCAAUGUAUCGCGAGAGCGAGUCAAGAAAUUACACUCUCGCGGUACAAUGACGUUUACCUGUCAGCGCAGCAAGAAGUCGAACACACGUAUUUGCGUGCGCGCGCCUCGGUCCUUGUGAGUUCAAAGUGGAUUUUAACCGUUUACCUCAGACGACAGUUUUCAUUUCUAUGGUAAAUUCUAAGGUCAUUUUCUUGUUGUGUUGUGAUGUGUUCCAUUGGCUGAAGAGCAGAUUACCAUGCAAUUUGAUGAAGUGUGAUAAAAUACACAGAGGUGAAGUCACGUGUCUUUCCAGAUGCCCAAAUCUGUACCACUCAAAAGAUGAGCCUGAAGAGGAGAUUUGGGAAGAUGCUGUUUCAUAAGUCUUUGCUUUGCCAGAUCCCCUGUGGUCGGGAUGUCUGCUAACAUGAUGCCUUGUUGGUCUGGGUGACUUUGAAGUCUCUCACAGACAGUCCAGAAGGUCUGGAGUCCAUGUUAGCUUUUAUUGAUUAACUACAUACGGUCCCUUGGGGGAGCCAACCCAGGUGAAGUCCACUGAAGUCCCAAUUGCCUACAGCAUGAAAUGGAGGAAGGCAAUAUCCAAUUAAAAGAGACAGAAUAAGAUUGGACCAGAAUAUCACACUCUAAAUUCUGCUGGGUUAUUUUUAACCCAAUGCUGGAAUCAACACAGAAAAACUACAAGGCAUUAAAGGCCCUUGACGUGGAAGACUUAAUUGCAUUAGCCCUGAAAUUUGCCCCACACAGAAAUUUAAAAUGAUGGCAGAGAUUGCUGUGGAGUUCUGAAGUUCAUUGUUUAAAUGUUUUCAUUUUUAAUAUAUUAAAAUGUUUUUUAUGAUACAAUGUUCUACAUGUUUAUUGCCAAUUUUAUGUGUUAUAUAAGCAAAUUAUCUACCCUAUUAUAUUAUUAUCUAAGUCUAUAAAUUCUAUAAAUGUUCCUGUGAUUAAUGAUUUUGAUUUUAUGUCUACGAAUAAAGAAUCCAUGGAUCAACA